rnacentral:snRNA from 1 species
UGAGGUGAGAAUUACCUGGCUGUGACAUCUGUGGCCUCAGUGAUCGCCAGGGUUGAUUCAGCUGCUCUGCCUGGCUAGGCCUUCAUCCCUUACUGCUCCAGGCUUCACACUCAGUGGACAGAGAAGGACCUUUCUUGGAUCAAGGGUGGCUGCCCUCCUCUGCUAGAACCUCCAAACAAGCAAGUUCUGUCUGUAGGAGAAUGCAGACUGGUCAUGCUUCCAAGACUCCAGACACAUCCCAAUGUGGCACUGCGUGUGACAGACGGCCUUUCUUU